rnacentral:rRNA from 1 species
UAAAGCAAGAAAGGGCGUAUGGGGAAUGCCUAGGCACACUCCGGCGAAGAAGGACGCAGCAAACAGCGAAAUGCGACGGUGAGCGGUAAGCACGUGAAGAGCCGUCGAUAUCCGAAUGGGGGAACCCACACGGAGUCAUAUCCGUGUAUCACAUGUCGAAUACAUAGACAUGAUGAGGCGAGACGCAGGGAACUGAAACAUCUAAGUACCUGCAGGAAGAGAAAAUAAGAAUGAUUUUCUGAGUAGCGGCGAGCGAAAGGGAAAGAGCCCAAACCGAUUUGAGGAUCGGGGUAGUAGGAUCAUCGAUAAAUCAAACAGAGGAUCAUAGAGGAAUCACAUGGGAAGGUGAGCGAGAGAGGGUGAGAGCCCCGUACUCGAAAUGAGAGACUGGAGAGAGAUGACACCUGAGUAGGGCGGGACACGAGAAAUCCUGUCUGAAUCAGCCGGGACCAUCCGGCAAGGCUAAAUACGAGAGAGUGACCGAUAGUGAACCAGUACCGUGAGGGAAAGGUGAAAAGAACCCCGGGAGGGGAGUGAAAGAGAACCUGAAACCAUAUGCCUACAAGAAGUCAGAGCCCGUUAAAGGGUGAUGGCGUGCCUUUUGUAGAAUGAACCGGCGAGUUACUGUAUGGAGCGAGGUUAAGCAGGAUAUGCGGAGCCGAAGCGAAAGCGAGUCUUAAGAGGGCGCGAGUUGCAUGCAGUAGACCCGAAACCGGGUGAUCUAGCCAUGACCAGGUUGAAGUUGGGGUAAAACCCGAUGGAGGACCGAACCGACCCCCGUUGAAACGUUGGCGGAUGAGUUGUGGCUAGGGGUGAAAUUCCAAUCGAACCCGGAGAUAGCUGGUUCUCCCCGAAAUAGCUUUAGGGCUAGCGUCGAGAGAAGAGUUGCGUGAAGGUAGAGCACUGAAUAUGUGAUGGCCCCAUCUCGGGGUACUGAGCAUAAUCAAACUGCGAAUGUCACGCCAACAUGCUCGGCAGUCAGACAGCGGGUGAUAAGGUCCGUUGUCAAGAGGGAAACAGCCCAGACCAUCAGCUAAGGUCCCAAAAUGUAUGCUAAGUGGAAAAGGAUGUGGAGAUGUACAGACAACUAGGAGGUUGGCUCAGAAGCAGCCAUCCUUUAAAGAGUGCGUAACAGCUCACUAGUCGAAUGACUCUGCGCCGAUAAUUUACCGGGGCUAAGCAUACUACCGAAGCUAUGGAUCCCAAGGGAUGGUAGGGGAGCGUUCCAUGAACGGAGAAGUACGACCGAAAGGACGUGUGGAGAUCAUGGAAGAGAGAAUGCCGGUGUGAGUAGCGGAACGUGGGUGAGAAUCCCACGCACCGAAAACCCAAGGUUUCCAGAGGAAGGUUCGUCCGCUCUGGGUAAGUCGGGACCUAAGGCGAGGCCGAAAGGCGUAGUCGAUGGACAACAGGUAGAGAUUCCUGUACCCGUAUAUAUGUGAAGGAAUGACGGAGAGAGGAAGCUGCAGCCAGCGGCUGGAAGAGCUGGUGCAAGCGAGAUAUCGGGAUGGCAGGCAAAUCCACCAUCCGAAACGAGAAGGCGUGAAGCGUACGGAAAGCUACGGCGAGUACGGAAGGCAGUGGAGGAACUUCCAAGAAAAGUUUCUAACGUUAAGUAUAUAUGGCCCGUACCGAAAAUGGACACACAUGGGUGAGGAGAGAAUCCUAAGGUGAGCGAGAGAACUAUAGCUAAGGAACUCUGCAAAAUGACUCCGUAACUUAGGGAGAAGGAGUGCUCAUAGAGAUAUGAGCCGCAGUGAAACGGCCCAAGCGACUGUUUACCAAAAACACAGCUCUCUGCUAAGCCGCAAGGCGAAGUAUAGGGGGUGACGCCUGCCCGGUGCUGGAAGGUUAAGGGGAGGGGUUAACGCAAGUGAAGCCCUGAACUGAAGCCCCAGUAAACGGCGGCCGUAACUAUAACGGUCCUAAGGUAGCGAAAUUCCUUGUCAGGUAAGUUCUGACCC